rnacentral:sRNA from 1 species
GCGCGACCCUCCCCCGGCCAGGCCCGGCCCGGCCCGGCCCGUGCCCGCGGUCUCUGCCCGGGCUGACGCCCAGGACCGUGGUCGAUGAGAAGCCCCAACAGCACGGCGUGGCCCCUCAGCCUCGGAAGUCUCCAAGGAUCCCCAUGAAAAACCUGCAUUUCCUCUCACGAUUUUGAGGCUGAAAUCAUCUUCCUCCUCCCAGAACACCUAGGUGUUCUAGUCUGAAGCUAUCCUCAUUCUCAACUCCCCUCCUUCAAGCCCUCACCCUGUGCCUGAAUUCUUCCUUCUUUGCUGGGACUGAUGGACAGGAGGAAGACAGGAAGUGGGGGACCCCUUCAACAACUCCUACAGCAGAGGGGAGCCAUGGGAGAUGGGCCGGGAAAUGUAAAGACAAACCCAUGCAGGAAAAAAAGAGAACUUUUUAGCACAGUGUCAUCUGAAAAUGCAAGAGAAGAAAGGCUCUUGGUGGCAACAGAGGAGUGUGACCUCCAUCCUCAGGGCUAGCACCUGACGCCUGUUCUCCAUCCACAUCUGAAAAAUACCACUGGCCCUGAGAAUCCAUUGCAACUGAGGUCCUGCACCCCAACAGCGGCAACUCAAGCUGCCAGCUGAAGCAGAGAGCACUGCCCGCACUGCAGGGUUGUGCCUGCGUACCCCGCUGCCUCCAGGGGUGGCUGCCUUCCUCCAGAGAAUGGACAGCUGAUAUCCUGAGGACAUAGAGAGUUAGUAGGGAUGACUGUAGCCAAUGGCAAAUUCCAUGGAAGAAAAGCCAUUCCCAUCUUCACAAAGAUGAGCAUAGUGAAGGCUGCAGUUUAGUUGGUUUGUGGUUCCCCAGAAGUCUUUCCAACAUUCAGCAGUUGUCCUUCAGUGCCGGGUACGCAGUCCAAUGCUGACUAUAGAGUUGUGAGCAAGACAAGCCUGAAUGUGUGGAGUUUCCUGUCUGAGCCUGAUCCAGGGAUUACCUCCUCCUCCACCACAAUGGACAUUGCCAUAGCCUGAUCCAGGGAUUACCUCCUCCUCCACCACAAUGGACAUUGCCAUGCGUGAUCGCUGCUGUGGCCAUCGUCCUAGUCUGCCUCCUCUUCGUCAUGCUGUACUACAUGUACCGGCACAGGGGCACGUACCACACCAAUGAGGCCAAGGGCACGGAGUUUGCUGAGAGUGCAGAUGCAGCCCUGCAGGGCGACCCUGCCCUCCAAGAUGCUGGUGAUAGCAGCAGAAAGGAGUACUUUAUCUGAGGGACAACAGACUUCACUUUCCUGAAUGCCUCCUCCAGCUCCAUCAGGAAAAAUACACCCCAUCGCCCAGCACCCCUGCUGAUACCACCAGACAGAGAGAGAGCACUUUCUUCUUCCCAAGAUAGGCACCUGGAAACACUAGGUGCCUGCCCAGGGAGGAAUGGAGGAGGACUCGCGCUACAAGAGCCCUCUCCCAGGGACCCAGGGAGGUGAUGGCCACCCAAGAGGCCACCCUUUGCUCCACGGAGGUGGGAGAAAGUCUGGGCACAUGGGGCCCCCUGGGCAGUGCAGAGCAACAUCAGCUCACUGGCAGGAAAGUCCCUGUUGAGGGUGAGGGGGUGCCGGGGUACCCGGGGGCUGGGGAAGCAAGGAAAUAAGUCAUCUGUAUGCUGACUGGGGAUAAUGGCAUCAAAUGUCAGUCCUUGACAUUUGGGAGAACAGCAGGUGCCAGAGCUAAAAGGUACCUUUGUCUCCCAUUGAUCCAGCUCAGAACGAUUGGAAAUAAAUUUGAAAUGUAACCGA